rnacentral:rRNA from 1 species
UACGUAGGGUGCAAGCGUUGUCCGGAAUUAUUGGGCGUAAAGGGCUCGUAGGCGGUUCGUCACGUCGGGAGUGAAAACUCGGGGCUUAACCCCGAGCCUGCUUCCGAUACGGGCAGACUAGAGGUAGGCAGGGGAGAGCGGAACUCCUGGUGUAGCGGUGGAAUGCGCAGAUAUCAGGAAGAACACCCGUGGCUAAGGCGGCUCUCUAGUACGGUACUGACGCUGAGACGCGAAAGCGUGGGGAGCGAACAGG